UGCAAUCUAUGUGUGACUGUUUCUACAAGCUUAGAUUCAGUGAUUGGUUGUUGUCGCAUUCGCGUGGUGUCCAUCUGAUCCUGAGGUUGCGAUAUACUUUGUCAACCAAUGGAUGCUGGCCGAGGUCGCCCAGGUCGAGAGCGCGCCCACCGGCCUGAAGCUCAUCCACGAGCCCUGAACUCUCAAGGUCAGCGACGUAGAUGGGUGUCCCUACCAGUGGCUCUUCAAGAGAGAGGAGCAAGAACAUGAUGGCGGCGGGGUGUUCGGUCUGUGGUCCACUUCGAUGCGGGACGUGGAGGCGUGAUCCGACAAAGCCUCCCGAUGCUCCAACCACUGCUUCCCAUCAACGCCAAGGAGCAGUAGCCUCCGCAGAUUCUAUGAUGAUUGAUGCAAAGUCCGUGCUGUGCUCCUAUGAUCGAGGUAUAGAAGAAGCGGCAGAAAAUUGAAUACAUCGUUCUCUGUUGCGUUGAGGAUUGAUUUCAGUGCAACCUUUCACUGAAAUCAUAUGAACAUGAUACUGUAGAUCUUCAGGAUGGGCCUUCCUAUCCAUUCUUAUCGGAUAAAUUAAAUAUAUCUCGUGUAAAUCUAGGUAUGAGAUGUUUCUUGUACAUCUGGUGUUCUUUACAUAUUAGUGUGUUGUAGCAGAUUUAGUGACAAAUUAAAGUCAUCCUGGAGCAUUGAUAUAAUUACAUUUGCUCAUUUUUUGUUAUGUGUUUUGUUUAGAGGAAUUGCUUCUGUACUUGACAGAUUAGGAGCUGGUGUUAGGUUUCACUGGAUCAAUUUUUAGCUCUUGUUUCUUGAGGUCUGCAGAGGUUAGAGGAGUAAUUAGUCUUCUAUGUUUCUCUAAUGAGUGUGUGUCUGGAUGCAUACAUAUAGUAGAGGAGCAAUUACCAUCUGGAUGUGCAUAAAUUAUUCUUCGUUAUUUUGCGAGUACAUGUGGAUGUGCAUAAAGUGUUCUCUCUUUUUUUAACGAGUAUAUGUGAUACAUAGAAAAUGUAUAUGGUGGUUUCCAUUCUGGAUUAUCUGGCUGGUACGUGGAGCUUAUUUAAUUUUCCACUAUUAUGGCAUUAUCUGUACUGCUUGACAUAUCAUGCCCCCUUACUUCCUUCGUGACCUCCCACUACUUCAUCUACUGAAAUGAUUAGGCGAAUCUCGUUUUUUCUAGCAUUAAACCUGCAAAGAAACGAAAUCUUCUCCGGAGCAAUUAGUAUUCUCUGUUUUCCUAACAAGUGUAUGUGAACUCAUUCAGACAGUAGAGGAAUAGUUACCAUUCUCUUUGUGUUUUAGCAAGUAUAUGUGGAUGCACAUCAAGUGUUCUCUGUUUUUAAUGGGUUAUAUGUUGAUGCAUAGAAAAUGUAGUACAUGGAGCCUAUUUAGUUUGUCUGAACAAUAAUACUUAUUCACAGAUUUUGUUAGCUUGCUUCAAAAUUUAUUAAUCCAGUUAUGGUGUGGUUGCCUAUUACUCAAGAUGAUUUCAUAUUAGCUUCAGAGGACAUGUAUGUUGCGUAUCCUUUUGCCUACUGAGCACACACAAAGAAAUGUUUCUAUCGAUAUCAUUAACUGAAACAUAUUCCAUUUUUGAUCAAUUGGUGGAUCUGACUAAUAUAGAUAUAUUGUAAGAGAUAUUAUUCACGUGCCAUUUUCUUAUUUCGAGUAAGCUUGAAACUGAUGGUCUCAGUUGGUUUGUGCAUUGACUUUCUUCGGAACCUGGAUCUAGAGAAACUAAGUAGAGGGUCGCCUUUUGUGCAGGAAUUUGCAGCAGGUCUGAUCCCUUGCGCGUGCUCCUCCGCUUGUCCUCACCCUCUCGACCCUCCCCUUGCUCAUCGCCAUCCAUUUUAUUCAGAGUGUAGAUGGCGGGAAAAACACCUAAGCUCCAGAGCAAGGAUGAAAGCACUCCAUACACACCCGCAAGGAUGAUGAUCCAUCUGUUUCUAGGAUGGUGGGACUUGAGGCAUGCACCAGAAUCAAGGAUCAGCUACUUGAUGAAAAUAUACAGGAGACUCUCCUACUCAACAUGACGUUAAAAAAAGAAUCAAGGAUCAGUUCAAUGGGAAUUGGAAUGAUGAAAACACUUGUUUGAGCACAUGUGAUCCUCAUAAUAGCAUAUUUGUAAUAAAUCAUUGUAGUCAAAACACUUUUUUUUAUAAUUAUGUAGUCAAAUUACUUAUGGGCUGUU